rnacentral:miRNA from 1 species
CAAGGUACCUGAGGUCCUCUUA